rnacentral:miRNA from 1 species
GGGAUUUGGGCCCUGGAGUGAACAGGAUUAGUGCUUAUGCUAAGAUGUCUUCGCUGUCACUUUUCUGCCCAUAG